GAUGAACGCUGGCGGCGUGCCUAAUACAUGCAAGUCGAGCGAACAGACGAGGAGCUUGCUCCUCUGACGUUAGCGGCGGACGGGUGAGUAACACGUGGAUAACCUACCUAUAAGACUGGGAUAACUUCGGGAAACCGGAGCUAAUACCGGAUAAUAUAUUGAACCGCAUGGUUCAAUAGUGAAAGACGGUUUUGCUGUCACUUAUAGAUGGAUCCGCGCCGCAUUAGCUAGUUGGUAAGGUAGCAGCUUACCAAGGCAACGAUGCGUAGCCGACCUGAGAGGGUGAUCGGCCACACUGGAACUGAGACACGGUCCAGACUCCUACGGGAGGCAGCAGUAGGGAAUCUUCCGCAAUGGGCGAAAGCCUGACGGAGCAACGCCGCGUGAGUGAUGAAGGUCUUCGGAUCGUAAAACUCUGUUAUUAGGGAAGAACAAAUGUGUAAGUAACUAUGCACGUCUUGACGGUACCUAAUCAGAAAGCCACGGCUAACUACGUG
rnacentral:rRNA from 1 species